rnacentral:lncRNA from 1 species
GGGCAUUGGACCAAGGAGAGCGAAAUUGCGCCAAGGAUAUCGGGGUUGCGGAGGUCAACCGCCGAUUGGGCAACAAGCCGCAAGAGAGGAUGAUGCACCGAAGAAUCGGACGAAGCGCCAACCAAUGACGUGCCGGGCAACAGAAUGUCAAUUUGCGUUAUAAUAAUUGUCUAGAUCGGAGUAGAGUGUUUGCUUGUGUGUGCAGGAUUAACUACGAUAACCAGAAAACAUAAAGCAAGGAUACCGGAGUCGAGCUCGAUGGACGUUUAAGAGACCGAAGAAUCAUCGGAGAUGCUGCCGGAACCAUCCGAGAAGAAAUCGGGAACGUGUCGGAAGUUCGCCGAAGAAAUCGUCGGAGGCUCNNNN